CCCCCGUGUCAGGAUGCAGUAGACACACAUGUAGCAGGUACCUCAGAAAACACAGGACUGAAAAGGUGGAAUUCAGAGACAUCAUGGCAUGCUUGCACAUUGUAGCCAGGCCCCAGCAUAACCAAAGAGGAGCGGCAGAGAGAGAGCAUGAACAGGGGAGGAGCAGAGAAAGAGGGAGACCCAGAAUCCCAAGCAGGCUCCAGGCUCUGAGCUGUCAGCACAGAGCCCGACGUGGGGCUUGAACUCGUCAACGGGGAUUGCCUGUGUUUCCUGUGUCCCUUCCCCCGAUUUGUCUGGAAGUUACAACUCUGCUUCGGUGGCUAUCGCUGACAUGUGCUCUUAACGAGGUGUAAGUUAGAGCGAAUCAAGGUCCCUGUUCUCCCAGAACAGACAAGGACCAGCUGCUGCACCCCACUCUGCACUCCUGCCAAGGCCGGGGUCUUUCCUACAAGCAUCCUUGGGGCUGCUUCUGCCAAAAGGGUUCAGUGAGAGCUUCCAGGAUGAGGAGGGGUCACUCCCAAGUGAAAUGCAGGCCCGCAGCUAUGAGCUCCUGGGUGGGGAGCUUCCCUGACUCAGGGUUCCCAGUACCUGGGAGACACUGUUCUGGGGCUUUGUUGUUUGCCCCAUCCACUCUUACACUGAGGCUGCACCCUUUGUCCAGACCCCACCUGUCCCACGUGGAUGUGAAAGCCCACCCUGGGCAUCAGGUCCCUCCCACCCCCACCUGUCCUUGCCUUAGGGCAGUCGCCCAUCAUGCUUUCCUGAGCUUGCUUGGGCUCACCUGUGCAUUUCAAAGGGGCUCACUAUUUCCAUCCAACAUUUUACAGGAGGCUGUUCGGUCCGCCAA